rnacentral:rRNA from 1 species
UACGUAGGUCCCGAGCGUUAUCCGGAUUUAUUGGGCGUAAAGCGAGCGCAGGCGGUUGGAUAAGUCUGAAGUUAAAGGCUGUGGCUCAACCAUAGUAUGCUUUGGAAACUGUUCAACUUGAGUGCAGAAGGGGAGAGUGGAAUUCCAUGUGUAGCGGUGGAAUGCGUAGAUAUAUGGAGGAACACCGGUGGCGAAAGCGGCUCUCUGGUCUGUAACUGACGCUGAGGCUCGAAAGCGUGGGUAGCGAACGGG